ACCCGGCUAGCUCAGUCGGUAGAACAUGUGACUCUUAAUCUCAAGGUCGUGGGUUCGACAUCCACGUUGGGCG